CCUGCUCCACCAAAUCUCCUAGGAAAGAAAGAGUUGUAGUACUGAAACUCCACAGAAACAGCAAGUCCAGACAGUGGAAGCAUUCCGGUUACAAAUGAAACAUCCACAUGGAACAGGAGUGCAGUCAGCAUCACAGGCUGGAGUGUUAAAGGAAGCCUAGAAAACAAGAGGUGCAAAGAAAGGACUUGAUCCAUUCCCGUUCGUGUCCUGGUUUGCAAUUGUCUUCCCAGCAACGGCUCUUCACUUCAGCAAGCAGCAGUUGCUUCCACGUUCCAGUUUCUUUCGGCAGUCUCAGAACCAGCACCAACUAGGUUUCAGUGUCAGCUGAAAGGGAGGCUGUACUCAGAGGUCUGAGUUACAGCUCCUCCUCUGAGCUCUCAGGUGCCAGUACAAUGGAUGCACUCUCUCUUGCAAGAUGGGGUUUCACCAUGACCACCAGGCUGGUCUUGAACUUCUGACCUCGGGUGAUCCACCAACCUUGGCCUCCCAAAGUACUAGGGUUACAGGUGUGAGCCACUGUGACCGGUCGGUAUGUAAUAAUUUAUUACAGCAGAAAUAAGAAGCUAAUACACAGCUUGACAGCCCCAAUCUUUGCACUGGAGAGUAGAUUAUUAGUCCCCCUUUUGAAGUUCUUUCCUCUCUAUUAAUUUUUUUAAUAGUCAUACACUUUCUUCAGUGUUUUUAUUCCCACCUGACCUUUUUCUUCACUGGAUAGCUUUUAGUUUUUUUUUUUUUUUAAUGUUUAUGGAUAUGUAAUGAGUGUAUAUAUUUAAAGAGUAUGUGAGGUAUUUUGACACAACAUACAAUGUGUAAAAGUCACAUCAGAGUAAAUGGGGCAUAGGGUAACCAUCACCUCAAGCAUUUAUCAUUUACAAACAUUCCAAUUAUACUUUUUAAGUUAUUUUUAAAUGUACAAUAUAUUAUCAUUGACUGUAAUCACCCUCCUAUGCUAUCAAAUAUUAGAUCUUGCUUAUUCUAUCUAAUUAUAUUUUUGUACCCAUUAACCAUCCCCACUUCUCCCACACCCCACGACCCUUCCCAGCCCUUAGCAACUGUCAUUCUACUCUCUAACUUCAUAAGUUCAGUUAUUUUCAUUGCAGCUCCCAUAAAUUAGUGAGAACAUAGAACACUGCCUUUCUCUGCCUGGCUUAUUUCAUUUAAAAAAAUGACCUACACUUUUAUCCAUGUUGUGUUAAAUGACAGAUAUCAUAUAUUUUAUGGUUAAAUAGAACUUACUGUAUAUAUGUACCAUACUUUCUUCUUCAAUUCUUCUGUUAAUGAACCCUUAGGUUGCUUCCAAAUCUUCAGUAUGGUAAAUAGUGUUGCUAUCAACAUAGGAGUACAGAUAUCUGUUCUAUAUAAUGAUUUCCUUUCUUUUGGUUAUAUUACCUAAGAGUGGGAUUGCUGGAUCAUAGUUAGGUCAGUGCAAAAAUAAUUGCAGUUUUUGCCAUUUUUCUUAAUGUUUUGAGGAACCUCCAUACUGUUCUUUAUAGUUGUAGUACCAAUUUGCGUUCCAAACAACAGGGCAUGAGGUUCCCUUUUCUCCAUAUUCCAACCAGUAUUCAUUAUUGCCUGUCUUUUGGAUAAAAGCCAUUUUAAGGCCGGGCGCCGUGGCUCAAGCCUGUAAUCCCAGCACUUUGGGAGGCCGAGGCGGGUGGAUCACAAGGUCAAGAGAUCUAGACCAUCCUGAUCAACAUGGUGAAACCCCGUCUCUACUAAAAAUACAAAAAAUUAGCUGGGCAUGGUGGCGCGUGCCUGUAAUCCCAGCUACUCAGGAGGCUGAGGCAGGAGAAUUGCCUG